UUCGGAUUGAUUUGACUGGGCACGCGAGUGGUAAACUCUAGGGUAAACUGCAUUUAAAAUGUAUGGGGGAAAUCAGGUAAAAUUAAUUAUUUUGAAUAUAAAUCAAAACUAAGGCUUGAAAAGUAGACGUAGUGACGUAGGUUAUUUUUUUAUCUACUACCAGGAGAAAUUUUACCCCACUCCCUUGCAUGGUGAGGGAGAUUUUUGAAAAAAACUGAUUUUCCUUGUAUAAAUUUAAAUUUUUUACCACUACUCGUACAGUGCCAUCUCUUAGAAAUUUUGCCGCGGCGGAUACCCUAUUAUCUUAACACUGCAACUAUUAAUCAUGCAAAUAACUAUUUUAAUUAAAAACAUAUAAAAAAAUAAAACAAUAAAAACCUUUAGCAGGUAAAUUUCGCGCAACAUUGCCUAAACGCACCUAACAGUGUAUGUUUACAUCCAGUUGGACAUCUGUGCGCGUCGCGAAAACGUCAGCUAGUUUGCGUAUUUCGCUGUUUGCGAAUGAAUUACGGUGCAAUUUUUUUGAUGAUGUUUCGUAUGGAUUCGAAACGAGUGCAUCUGUGUUUGUGGAUAUCUUUCAAGACGGCAUCCGUGAGUCUUCUGAACGAUCAAGAAGAAACAGGAUAAAUUUGAGACCUAAACCCAGAUCCAGCAGACGAACCUGAUUGAUACACGGAUCAAUAAGCUUCUGUUCGGUGCGGCUAAUCCAGCCGGAUUUGGCAAGUUGGCGAUCCAGACCUUUCCAAAAUGGUCAAACCGACUUUCAGAGGGAACCUUUGUUGACGGAGCUGGAAACAGAACCGAUUUCGCGUGGAUUUUUUUUUCAGAGAAAGCGAAGCAUUUCGCAGCAUGUUUUUGUUUGUAUGUUGACAUGUUUUAUUGUGGACAACAUUUGAAAGAUAAACUUCUAGUCUAGGAUAACGUAUAACGUAUUGAAGAAUAUUACCAGCAACCUAAUGGACAAAUCAGAUAAGUUAACAUUAAAUGUAGUAAGCUAGAUACUGUGUAGUUUGUUUUCUUUUUUCAGGUUUAAAC